AUACGGAGGGGGCUAGCGUUGUUCGGAAUUACUGGGCGUAAAGCGCGCGUAGGCGGGUUGGCAAGUUGAAGGUGAAAUCCCAGGGCUCAACCCUGGAACUGCCUCCAAAACUGCCAGUCUUGAGUUCGGAAGAGGUGAGUGGAAUUCCUAGUGUAGAGGUGAAAUACGUAGAUAUUAGGAAGAACACCAGUGGCGAAGGCGACUCACUGGUCCGAUACUGACGCUGAGGUGCGAAAGCGUGGGGAGCAAACAGGAUUAGAAACCCCGGUAGUCC
rnacentral:rRNA from 1 species